rnacentral:rRNA from 1 species
AUGAAGGAGUCCUUUUCCAUUGUCUACACUAAAGUUCCAACACAUGUGGUGGACCUGGUGAAGCUACCAUCAAAGGGAAACCCAAAAUCAGCAUUGUCCUUUGAUGAUAAUUACAUUGAGUUAUUUGAAGAGAUUCGUGGUGUUUUGGAAGCACAAAAUCAGAAAUAUAAACAACUUGCUGACUGCAAAAAGAGGUCGAAAUCAUUCCAAGUUGGUGAUAAGGUGAUGGUCUACCUCCGAAAAAAGAGACUACCUUUAGGUGUUAAAGGGAAGCUUAGGCAGCGAAAGUAUGGGCCCUUCUCUAUCAUGAGGAAGAUAAAUGAUAAUGAUUAUGUGAUAGAUUUUCCAAGCGACAUGGGUAUAUCCGACACUUUCAAUGUUGCAGACUUGACCCUCUACCAUCUAGAAAAAGCGCUCUAUGAAGAUAACUCGAGGGCGAGUUCCAAACAAUCAGGGGAGAAUGAUGAGGAAAAUAAAAAUAUAAUCAUAUGUCAAAACUGUUUGGCUACUUCUAGAUACUUCUAUUGUAUUCUAGUAUUUCUUUUCUUUUCUCAACCCUGGCUACAGUUUUCGAGAGUCUUCUAG